UCCACGUCGCACUGCCACAACCCACGGUCGUCGGUCGUGUCGUCGGCGGCAUACUAUUACAACACUGUUUUUCAGGAACACUGUCGCGCGCGUCGUACGCCCAAGGAACUCGGACGAUCGUUGGUGCCGUCGCCUUCGUACGGGCAGGUACGGGCAUAGAGUUAGUAGAACAACUCUAGAGGAAAAGCUGGGCCGGAAAAGUGGGAACCUCUAGGGCGCCGCCCUGUUGCUACUGGUCAAUGUGGCCAGCGCAAUUACUAUUGAAAGAGCUGAGAACAAGUACAGGUCACCUUAUGCUUUGUCACCUAAAAACGCAUACCUGAUGGCUUUAUGAAGGUGGUACGUUAAUAUUAAGUUUACAGAAAGCGAUCGCUAAGUCCGUGACUUAUGUAAAUCACGAUGUACGCAUUCAUGCAAUAAAGGAUGACGCGAAUUUCGGUUUCGAAUCUGUUUUUUGGAUGCGUAGUAGUUUCGUUUGACAUGCGAUCGCGCGUCGACAUCGGACGCUAUGACACACUCGUGCCUUAUGUGCCACCGAAGCCCCGAAGUGGUCUGGCAUAUACCUUCACAUAUAUGCAAUGGCAAGCCCUUCCGUGUGUUCCAAAGACAAUGCCUACGCCUAGCCACAGCAGCUCCCUCAUACAGACUCCACAAACCAAGAGGCCGUGGAGGCAAAUGCAGGCAGCCAGCACACCUCGAACAGCCACCUUGACUGCGGGUGUGUCACCCUAGUCGCCAAGGAAACAUUUGAGGGAAAGUGACAGGCAAUGUGAACAGCCACUUCUCCAUGUAAACAAUACUCUUUCUCUCGGAUGACUCCUACGCCUCACCACGCCAGCACACUUGUGCACAAAGAUGCCGCAGAGGCACGUGCAGGUCAGAGGCAAGAAGCAGUGGCACUGGUGUCGACAUUUACCCAAUUUCUUUUUCUUACACUGAGGCAGCCAGCACACCUCGAACAGCCACCUUGACUGCGGGUGUGUUAGUUGAUUCCUGUUGUACAUAUGCUCAUAAUAAACUUCAGUAAACUUGAACUUCAUAAUAAACUUGAAGGCAAAUGGGA